CAAAACUUCUAACAGUGUCGUGGCAGUGCUGGCUAAAGCCUCAAUUAUUUACUGUACUUGUAUUUAAAGAUCGAUAUUCCUUUAAGUUUUAUAGUUUGGAGCCAGGAUAGGACUUUAAGUCUCUGAAUUACACUGCCAUCUAGACAAGGUUGUUUUUAAUAAUGUGCAUGACUAUUUGGAAAUUCCAUCCUGUUGUGUGAAACUUGGCAUAGGUGAUAACAAAAUAUAUAUAUAAAAGGCCUUUCGUUAGGAAACACGAGGUUAGAAAUUGCUACGCUUGUUGUAUUUGCAGUGUAUUGAUUGAGUUCUCUGAGUUUCCUGAACUUGUUGCAUUUCCGAAACCUGAGUGUGAUGCAGAUUUGCUACUGCCAUUCAGCCUGUUGUGGAAUGGGCAUGCAGAUAACUACCUGAAAGUAAGAGGGAGUCAUGGGUCCUCAGUAAGGGAGUAGGGGUCACACCUCCACUCUAUCAGGAUUUCAGAAAUACCAGCAAACCCCAGACUGAUUGGGUCACUGUCUCUAAAAUUCUCCUCUAGUUUUCCAGUAGAAAUAUGAAGAUUUUAAGCACGACUGACAAGAUUCUGUCUGCCUCUCUUGUCAUCUCUUGAGUCAUCCUCCCCUUUGCUUAUGAUAUUUCAUUUACAUGGUCAAAUACAGAUGCUCCUUUCACACUAAAUGCUCUUUCAGGUCU